rnacentral:rRNA from 1 species
CACCGGAGAUCCUGCCAGUAGCCAUAUGCGUAUCUCAAAGAUUAAGUCAUUCACCUGUUAUUUUAUACCGACUCAGUAAAGCUCUGAAUGGCUCUGUAUAACAGUUAUGGUUCCUUUAAUCGUCACAUCCUACAUGGAUAACUGUGGUAAUCCUAGAGCUAAUACAUGCAAUGCGGAAGAAGCCGACCUCACGAUCUGGCGUGCAUUUAUCAGACCAAGACCAACCCGGGGUUCGCCCCGGUCGCUUUUGGUGACUCUGGUUAACCCAGCCGAUUGCACGGUCUUCGCACCGGCAAAAGAUCAUUUGAAUGUCUGCCCUAUCAACUUUCGAUGGUAUGUUCUGUGUCCACAAUGGUGGGAACGGGUGACGGGGAAUCAGGGUUCGGUUCCGGAGAGGGAGCCUGAGAAACGGCUACCACAUCCGAGGAAGGCAGCAGGUGCGCAAUUUACCCCUUCCGACUCGCGGAGGUAGUGACGAAAAAUAACAAUACGAAUGACAACUAAGAUAACAAUUUGAGGUCCCGUAAUUGGAAUGGGUACACUUUGAAUCCUUUAACGAGGAUCUAUUGGAGGGCAAGUCUGGUGCCAGCAGCCGCGGUAAUCCUAGCUCCAAUAGCGUAUAUUAAAGUUAUUGCGGUUAAAAAGCUCGUAGUUGGAUCUUGGGACCGGGCUUGCGGUCCGCCGCGAGGCAUGUCACUGCUCGUCCCGGCCCUCCCCGCCGGAUUCUCCCCGGUGCUCUUAGCUGAGUGCCUCGGGGUUCCGGUGACUUUGUCCCGCGUUCGGCUGCUUAUCGUAUUCCCGCAAAGUCUUGUUUGUCUACAGUAGUAGACGAAGCCAUGCAUUAUUAGGCGACAGAGCGGGGUGUCCAACGAGUCCUGCGGUCCCACUGGAAUAAACGGGGUGGGGGCUCCGUUG